rnacentral:rRNA from 1 species
AUGAACGCUAGCUACAGGCUUAACACAUGCAAGUCGAGGGGCAGCAUGGUCUUAGCUUGCUAAGGCCGAUGGCGACCGGCGCACGGGUGAGUAACGCGUAUCCAACCUGCCUUACACUCUUGGACAGCCUUCUGAAAGGGAGAUUAAUACAAGAUGUUAUCAUGAGUAAGCAUUUUCGCAUGAUUAAAGGUUUACCGGUGUAAGAUGGGGAUGCGUUCCAUUAGAUAGUAGGCGGGGUAACGGCCCACCUAGUCUUCGAUGGAUAGGGGUUCUGAGAGGAAGGUCCCCCACAUUGGAACUGAGACACGGUCCAAACUCCUACGGGAGGCAGCAGUGAGGAAUAUUGGUCAAUGGACGAGAGUCUGAACCAGCCAAGUAGCGUGAAGGAUGAAGGUUCUAUGGAUUGUAAACUUCUUUUAUACGGGAAUAAACGGAUCCACGUGUGGAUUUUUGCAUGUACCGUAUGAAUAAGGAUCGGCUAACUCCGUGCCAGCAGCCGCGGUAAUACGGAGGAUCCGAGCGUUAUCCGGAUUUAUUGGGUUUAAAGGGAGCGUAGAUGGGUUGUUAAGUCAGUUGUGAAAGUUUGCGGCUCAACCGUAAAAUUGCAAUUGAUACUGGCAGUCUUGAGUACAGUUGAGGUAGGCGGAAUUCGUGGUGUAGCGGUGAAAUGCUUAGAUAUCACGAAGAACUCCGAUUGCGAAGGCAGCUUACUAACCUGUAACUGACAUUGAUGCUCGAAAGUGUGGGUACCAAACAGGAUUAGAUACCCUGGUAGUCCACACGGUAAACGAUGAAUACUCGCUGUAGGCGAUAUACAGUCUGCGGCCAAGCGAAAGCAUUAAGUAUUCCACCUGGGGAGUACGCCGGCAACGGUGAAACUCAAAGGAAUUGACGGGGGCCCGCACAAGCGGAGGAACAUGUGGUUUAAUUCGAUGAUACGCGAGGAACCUUACCCGGGCUUAAAUUGCAACCGAAUAUGGCGGAAACGCUAUAGCUAGCAAUAGCGGUUGUGAAGGUGCUGCAUGGUUGUCGUCAGCUCGUGCCGUGAGGUGUCGGCUUAAGUGCCAUAACGAGCGCAACCCUUGCCGAUAGUUACUAACAGGUUAUGCUGAGGACUCUGUCGGGACUGCCAUCGUAAGAUGUGAGGAAGGUGGGGAUGACGUCAAAUCAGCACGGCCCUUACGUCCGGGGCUACACACGUGUUACAAUGGGGGGUACAGAGGGCUGCUACCACGCAAGUGGAUGCCAAUCCCAAAAACCUCUCUCAGUUCGGAUUGAAGUCUGCAACCCGACUUCAUGAAGCUGGAUUCGCUAGUAAUCGCGCAUCAGCCACGGCGCGGUGAAUACGUUCCCGGGCCUUGUACACACCGCCCGUCAAGCCAUGGGAGCCGGGGGUACCUGAAGUGCGUAACCGCAAGGAGCGCCCUAGGGUAAAACUGGUGACUGGGGCUA